rnacentral:rRNA from 1 species
AGGAUAAACGCUGGCGGCGUGCCUAACACAUGCAAGUCGAACGCUCUCUGGCAACAGAGGGAGUGGCGGACGGGUGAGUAACACGUGGGUACCUACCCCAAGGUGAGGAAUACCGGCGAGAAAUCGCCGACAAUACCGCAUAGCUUUCGCAAGAAAGAAAGCUUCGCAAGAGGCGCCAUGGGAAGGGCCUGCGGCCGAUUAGCUAGUUGGUAAGGUAAAAGCUUACCAAGGCGACGAUCGGUAGCUGGUCUGAGAGGACGAUCAGCCACACUGGGAUUGAGAACGGCCCAGACUCCUACGGGGGGCAGCAGUGAGGAAUUUUCGUCAAUGGGGGCAACCCUGAACGAGCAACGCCGCGUGCAGGAAGAAGGUUUUCGGAUCGUAAACUGCUUUUCUCUGGGACGAGAACGGACGGUACCAGAGGAAUAAGCCCCGGCUAACUACGCGCCAGCAGCCGC